CAGGGCCCUGCAACUCCUAAGAAAUUUGAACAUGCCAUAUCAUCUAAGAUUACAAAACAUGACCAGUCACCAAUGCUUCUCAAGAUGCAGAGAAGCAGCUCAAAAUCAAUUGCCCGGGUGAUCAUUCAUCAAGACAAGGCAUAUAGUGGUUGGAUUGGGUUGGACCGCGAAAUGGAUGAAGGAUCAUGGGACCGAAAGUGGCCUCAUGGUUUGGCUUCAGAUCAAUGUAGUCAUAGCUUUAGCACUUCAAAAGACUCAACAGCCCAUCAAACAGUUCCGAGCCCCUCUUCUUGAGAAGUUUACUCUCGAAAAAAAAAAAAAAAACAAUGCCCAAUUAGUACACAUUAAUGUGUACAAAGUGGUAGCCCCAAGACUUGAAACCAUAACCUCAAGGUUAUAAUGCGAAGUUCACUCUUUAUGCCCUUUAAAGUUUACGCAAGGCAACACUGAGAAAAUCCCUUUCUGCAUGGCCAACAAUAGCCCACAGUUUUACUCAGCCUCAUCAAGGAGUGGUAGUUCUAAGAGGUCCAUUCACUCCCUCUACGAGCAACGGAUCAAGAAGCAACCUACACUACAAGAAAUUAGUGAUUUAGGGACUAAUAUUUAGAGACCAACUGAAUUUAGUCUCUAAAAACCAUCAUUUAGAGACCAAAAUAAAUUUGAAGAAAAAAUUAUACAUACACCGUAUAUUCUUUUAUGAUAGC